GGGGCUAUAGCUCAGCUGGGAGAGCGCCUGCUUUGCACGCAGGAGGUCAGCGGUUCGAUCCCGCUUGGCUCCACCA
rnacentral:tRNA from 1 species